ACAUCUUUGAUUUUUAGAGGGUAUCUUUAUCUUAUUCUCAGUUAUAAAAUAUCAACAUGCCUUCUCACAGGAAAUAACCAAAUACAUACUGUACAUACAUUAUAUUCAUUUAAAUUCAUUAGUAAAAGCUGCAAUAUGUAACUUUUUGGGUGACCUGACCAAAUUUACAUAGAAAUCUGAGUUAUAGAUCUGUCAUUCUCAUUAAAAGCGAGUCCGAGAAGCUGUAUAUCUGUUUUAUAUGCACUAUUUCUAUGCUUCCCAUUCUUAUGUUUCGUUUUUGCUUGUUUUACUUUUGGUUUUGUACACCAACUUCAAACAGCUAAAAAUACAAUAUUUGUUGGUUAUGGAAUAUAUAUUUCACAGCAGUUUAGAUGGUACAAUAAUUCUCUACACAAUGGCUGCUUGUUUUGUCACAUAAACUGACAUUAGGCAAACUAUUAGAAUUUUUGCAACCAGGAAAUGGCAGAGCAAUUUCCACAUAUUGCACCUUAAUUAUCCUAGCCAAAACAAUCAAUGCAUUACAUUCAAUCAAUUCACAUCUUAUGAAGUGCUGUCAUCGAGGAAUGGUAGCCUGAUCCCAGAUCUGCUUAUGCAGUCUUGACAACUCCUAUGGUCAUUGGUUUGAGUUGUCAAUACAGCACCAACAGAUCUGGUAACAGGCUACGAGAACAACUGAUUUUAAAAAGAGCCUGACAUGUAGAAAACACACAAUGGAAAAGCUAUUAGUAGACUGCCAUUCUGUAAGCAGAGGGAAAUACAAUCUCAGAUAUGCUAAUUUAUUAAUAAUAAUGUUCUGUAUGUGGACUGGUCAUCAACACCAAGGAGCAUAAAUAAGCUAUUUAAUCAUUUAGAGUACAGAGAUAUUUUGCUUCAUUUACUGUACACAUUUUUUGUCUUAACUGACUUGAUAUUUUACGCACUUUUGAAAGCUCUUGCACUCAGACAGAUGCGCGCACACGUGGAAGCACACAAAGACUUACGCACGCACGCAUGCGCACACACACACACACACACACACACACACACACACACACACACACACACGCACACACACACACAUAAACAUACCGACACACUCUGAGAGAGAAAAUGAAAGAGUGGAGGAUAAUAAAAUAGUAUAUUCUACAGGUUUACAGUAUCUGUUUGAGAAAAGCGUGAAGCCUCCAGAGAAGAGUUUCCUAUUAUGAUUAUUCGGUUAUGAGUUAUUGAUGUCACCAACAGUGGGUGUUCCCUAGUCAUCACCAUAGCAACUACCACUCCCUCCCACCUGCUUCAGAGUCUCUCACGUGGUAAAUGGAGAGGACACCUGGGUCGUAUUCAUUGAAUCUGUUUUCCAACCAGAGGUCAGGCAAGAACUGCACCCUCCUGGGUGUUUUCAGUAGUAGUUUACUCUUUCACAAAUCAAAUGACCGUAAUCAGUCUAAUUAACGUUGGUGGAAACCUUUUUACGAGGGUUAUAAACGAAUGUCACACUAGCAAUGUUGGGAUGCUUUCAAUAAAGAAAAUCCAUAAUUGCUUAGAUACACUCCCAUUGCAUUUUCUGGGAUAGUUAUGAAGUCCUGUUUGACAUUUUAUUACUGAUUGUCACUUGACAUUCAGUGACAAACUGUCAGGAUAUCUUAUAUAAUUUGGUAUGUCAUGUUUAUGACAAUAUGACAAUGUUAUGACACUGCAACUGGUCAAAUAAAGUGGUACUGAAGUGUCUGUUGUGGUAUUGAUGCAUAUUGCUCAUCAUGACCAAUAGACAACCAAAACAUUGCAUUAACAUGACCAAUGGACAAUCACAAAACAACGUUAACCUGUUAACCUGUCAACAUCACUCUUAUCACAGGCUUUAGCAAUUAUCUUUCCAAUGAUACACACACACACUCAUUUGUUAAAAAGAACUACUCCCCUUCAGAGCAUGGAAGGGAGGUAUGUUAUUAGAGCUAUAUAAUGAAGAUAGUUGACCUCAGCUGAUACACUGUCAAUAGUCAAUAAUGACCCAGCAUGCUCUUUACCUUGACUUGAACCCUGUCCAAUCAAUGUUUAUUGGUCACAUUGUUGUUUUUUGGUGGUUGCCCAUUGGUCAUGUUAAUGUUGUUUUUUUGGUUGGUCAUGUUAAUGUUGUUUUUUUGGUUGGUCAUGUUAAUGUUGUUUUUUUGGUUGGUCAUGUUAAUGUUUUUGUUUUUUGUCUAUUGGUCAGGUUAAUGUUUUUGUUUUUUGUCUAUUGGUCAGGUUAAUGUUUUUGUUUUUUGUCUAUUGGUCAUGUUAAUGUUUUUGUUUUUUGUCUAUUGGUCAGGUUAAUGUUUUUGUUUUUUGUCUAUUGGUCAUGUUAAUGUUGUUUUUUUGGUUGGUCAGGUUAAUGUUUUUGUUUUUCGUCUAUUGGUCAGGUUAAUGUUUUUGUUUUUUGUCUAUUGGUCAGGUUAAUGUUUUUGUUUUUUGUCUAUUGGUCAGGUUAAUGUUUUUGUUUUUUGUCUAUUGGUCAUGUUAAUGUUUUUGUUUUUUGUCUAUUGGUCAUGUUAAUGUUUUUGUUUUUUGUCUAUUGGUCAGGUUAAUGUUUUUGUUUUUUGUCUAUUGGUCAGGUUAAGGUAAGGUUUAAGGUUUGGGAUAGGCUUCUUUAAAAUAAAUCUAACACAACUUUCCAUGCCUGGAUUCGAACAAGCAACUGGAGGCAGAUGCUUGAAGGUAACAGAGCUCACUGGUGCCUUGAGUGGCUGGUUUCCACGUCAUCUCCCAACAUCCUCAGAGAUGGAUGAAGGUCGAGUACUGACUUGUAUCCCGGGUGACCGGCCUGAGUGUGCUGCCCUCCAGAGGCCACUGGACAACUUUGAGAAGGUAAUAGCCUACAAGGAGAUAUCAAAUAUGAGAGAUGGAGCUAUAUUUCUACCAUUCAUCAGAUAUAAGAUGCAUUUAAUGCACGAUUUAUGAGGCCAUGUCACGCUGAAUCCCUCAAAGGAAAUGUUUUGUGUAUUUUGCCCUCUGGCUUAGUUUCACCCGAUGUGGAUAGAUGCAUACAUGUUUUGCCUGAAGUGUUUGUGCAUUGAUAUGUGUGUGUGUAUGUUUGUGUGCGCACGUGUAUGUGUGCAUGUGUAAUGUGUGUGUGGAUGUUCAUUGGACAGAAAAUAACAGAGAUGUGUUUUAUACAACAAGCUCUCACAGUCUUACUGCAGAAUCCAACGUUUGUCUAUAAACGUUUGAUUUUUAAGGUUCAGUUUAUGCAUUAAUUACGAAUGGUUAAAUUUAGGGUUAAGGUUGGGAUAGGUUUAAAACAAAAGGAACUCCACAGUUAAAACUUAUUUAGGCUAGGGUGUAUUUUUCUCCACUUCCUGUCUGACUGACGUGCCCAAAGUAAACUGCAAUGAGUUCUAUGCAAUUCCAGAACGAGUGGAUUACUGAAAUCGACAGCGCCAACUAAACUGACUUUUUGGGAUAUAAAGAAGGAUUUUAUCUAACAAAACAACCAUGCAUGUUACAUCUGGGACCCUUUGGAUUGCAAAUCAGAGGAAGAUUUUCAAAAAGUAAGUGAUUAUUUAAUCGCUAUUUGUGAUUUUAUGAAGCCUGUGCUGGUUGAAAAAUAUGUUGAUAUGGGGCGCCGUCCUCAAACAAUCGCAUGGCAUGCUUUCGCUGUAAGGCCUAUAGUAAAUCGGACAAUAACAAGAAUUUAAGCUUUUAACUGAUAUAAGACACUUGUAUGUACCUAAAAUGUUUAAAGUUCAGGCAUUAAUUCCGAAUUGUUAAGGUAAGGGUUAAGGUUUGGGAUAGGCUUAAAACCUAGCAGUUGGAUCGAACACGGCCAUCCCCCAUCCCCAUCCCCAUCCCCAUCCACAUUGCCCUAGCAAAACCCAAGCCUACAUGAUGGUAAUAGCCCUCACCAUUGCCCCUAGCAGACGGUUUUUAAGUCUUCUACUGAUGUCCUGGUUACCUGGACGGACUUCAAAUUUCGCAGUCAAUCGUGAGCAACCUGGCUGGUUUUCUAGGUUGUUUCUGGGCAGGACAGAACACAGUUGAUCUAUGAGUUGUCGUGGCUUCAUAAAUUCAUAGUUUCUCAGUCAUCUAAUUUCUCACCCUCGUGCCAGUCAGACAGAGGAGGGUUGAAGAGAGAAUAGAAAGAUACAGCUAUGAGGGUGAGAGUGAGAAUAAACUGGCUUUUUACUGUUCUAAUUACAUUGUUAACCUGGUUAUAAUACCAAUAAGGCACCUCGGGGGUAUGUGGUAUAUGGCCAAUAUACCACGGCUAAGGGGCUAAGGGCUGUGUCCAGGCACUCCGUUCUGCAUCGUGCAUAAGAACAACCCUUUAGCCGUGGUAUAUUGUCAAUAUACCACACCUCUGGCGUUAUUGAUGAAUUAACUCUUGUUUACUCUCUCUAUCUCUCUCUCUCACUCUCUUGCUCUCUCACACACACACACACACACACACACACACACACACACACACACACACACACACACACACACACACACACACACACACACACACACACACACACACACACACACACACACACACACACACACACACACACACACACACACACACACACACACACA